GGGGGCGUUUUGGCUUCGACGGGGGUAAGAUGGGCUUGAGAAGCGAGUCGAGGGACGUAUGGGCCCGCGUUAAAAAACUAUACAAUAAAUAUAAACGCAAACGAUAAUUACGCAUUAGCUGCUUAGUGUAGCUCGUCCUACUCGAGAGUCCCACGACUUGGGAUAGGGCGCUAAUAAGUGGGGAACCGAACUUAGCAAAGCUUUGAGCUAAGGACGGAAUUUAUGAAGCUACUGAAGUGAGAAGCUUGUCUGUGAGCGUCUCAUGGAGGGAAUGUUAAAGUACAGACUGCACUCGGAGAAGAUCAGGCUGGUCUGCUUUCGGACAGGGGUUCGAUACCCCUCGCCUCCACCA
rnacentral:tmRNA from 1 species